CACACAAUACCCUAAUAGUGCUCCAUUGAUCAUUUCAUAAGUAAUGCUCUCAAUUAUCUUUUAUAAUGAAUACACAGCUCAUCACAUAAUUUGGGUGGAGCAGAAACAGGAGGAGUUAGGCCAAACAGGCAUCAGACAGCAUUGUUCAAAAAUAAAUUCAGGCGAUAUAUGAAAUCAUUUACUUUCACCAUAGCCAACUCCUCUAAUUGCUGAAUACAUUUUACUAUGUGGAACACACAGUGAAGGAGAAAUAAACACAUGUGGGUCCCCUCACCAUGAGACAGUUGGCAAGGACAGAAACCAG